GUAGUCUCGCACAGAUGCAUAUCAAUAAGCGGAGGAAAAGAAACUAACAAGGAUUCCCUCAGUAACGGCGAGUGAAGCGGGAAGAGCUCAAAUUUGAAAUCUUGAAAGGUCACCUUUCACGAAUUGUAGUUUAAAGAAGUGUUUUCUGUUACGAUCGUAAUAUAAGUUCUUUGGAAUAGGACAUCACAGAGGGUGAGAAUCCCGUCUAUGAUUGCGAUUUGUAGCUUUGUGUUACACUUUCAAAGAGUCGGGUUGUUUGGGAAUGCAGCCCAAAACGGGAGGUAAAUUUCUUCUAAGGCUAAAUAUUGGCGAGAGACCGAUAGCGAACAAGUACCGUGAGGGAAAGAUGAAAAGAACUUUGAAAAGAGAGUUAAAUAGUACGUGAAAUUGUCAAAAGGGAAGCGUUUAACACCAGUGUUGUUUUCUGAAAAUCAACCUCUGUUAGCUUUAUGCAUGUUUGUUUAGACCUAAUCAGCUAUCUUGCAUGUUCUAUUGUUUGCAGUGGUGCACUUUUCAGUUUACAGGUCAACAUCAGUUUUUUUUACCGUAAAAAAGUUAAAGAAAGGUAGCUCAUGGCUCCGGUCGUGAGUGUUAUAGUCUUUUUCCUAUGCGGUAGGAGAGACUGAGGUCUGCAGUGUAGGCUAUUUGGCUAGAUACUCAGGUGCUAUGUGAUACCAUUUCAUAAACAACUUGUUGAUUAUGUUUUGUCUAUUGCAUACUCGCUUGUACUAUCAUACCUACGCUUAGGAUGUUGAGUCGUAGAGCACGCAG
rnacentral:rRNA from 1 species